GAUGAACGCUGGCGGCGUGCUUAACACAUGCAAGUCGAACGGAAAGGCUCCUGCUUGCAGGGGUACUCGAGUGGCGAACGGGUGAGUAACACGUGGGUGAUCUGCCCUGCACUUCGGGAUAAGCCUGGGAAACUGGGUCUAAUACCGGAUAGGACGAUGGUUUGGAUGCCAUUGUGGAAAGAUUUUCGGUGUGGGAUGCGCUCGCGGCCUAUCAGCUUGUUGGUGGGGUAAUGGCCUACCAAGGCGUCGACGGGUAGCCGGCCUGAGAGGGUGUACGGCCACCUUGGGACUGAGAGACGGCCCAGAAGCCUACGGGAGGCAGCAGUGGGGAAUAUUGCACAAUGGGCGCAAGCCUGAUGCAGCGACGCCGCGGGGGGGAUGACGGCCUUCGGGUUGUAAACUCCUUUCGCUAGGGACGAAGCGUUUUGUGACGGUACCUGGAGAAGAAGCACCGGCUAACUACGUG
rnacentral:rRNA from 1 species